rnacentral:rRNA from 1 species
UACAGAGGGGGCAAGCGUUGUUCGGAAUUACUGGGCGUAAAGGGCGCGUAGGCGGCCCGCUAAGUCGAACGUGAAAUCCCCCGAGCUCAACUCGGGAACUGCGUCCGAUACUGGUGGGCUUGAAUCCGGGAGAGGGAUGCGGAAUUCCAGGUGUAGCGGUGAAAUGACGUAGAUAUCUGGAGGAACACCGGUGGCGAAGGCGGCAUCCUGGACCGGCAUUGACGCUGAGGCGCGAAAGCUAGGGGGAGCAAACGGGG